UACAGAGGUCCCAAGCGUUGUUCGGAUUCACUGGGCGUAAAGGGUGCGUAGGCGGUCGGGUAAGUCUGACGUGAAAUCUUCAAGCUCAACUUGGAAACUGCGUCCGAUACUAUUCGGCUAGAGGAAUGGAGGGGAGACUGGAAUACUUGGUGUAGCAGUGAAAUGCGUAGAUAUCAAGAGGAACACCAGUGGCGAAGGCGAGUCUCUGGACAUUUCCUGACGCUGAGGCACGAAAGCCAGGGGAGCAAACGGG
rnacentral:rRNA from 1 species